rnacentral:lncRNA from 1 species
AAUGAGUUCAGAUUUGAGCAUAAGUAAUAGUACACUUCCAAUGAUAUCAGAGUUAGAUUCCCAGCUACGAGAGCUUUCUAGUCAUGUGCGUAUAAACUUCCAAUAAGCAGCAAGUCGCAAGAAAGCAACGAACUUCUCGGUGCCAUCCAUGCCUUCCAAGGAUACAGGUCCAGCACUCUUCUUAACUUUAUACAUAUUAUAAAACUACAAGAUUCUAUUUCAAAAUCUGUUGGAAAAUUAAUAAUCACUAGGGUUGGAGAAGAAACCAAAAAAUUAAAAUUUGAGAAGAUGAAAGAUGAACAAGAAGAUCAAACCAAUAUGAAGACUCAAACACGAAAAUAAUCUCGCUGUUCUCGAGCGAUAUUUGCCCCCUCUCCGGAUUAUACGAGAUGCUUCAAGGGUUUUACGAUAAAUGGUUCGUAGGAUUGAUCAAGCCUUGUUGCAAAAAACACUAAAGCAUAAAUGAUUUUCUACCUGAACUUGAAGAACACAAGAGGGAAUUGCUUGAAUAUGAAAAUAGAAAGAAUGUUUUCUUGUGGAAUGUAAAAUCAGUUUCUUAUAUGAUUUUUCAAUAUAUGUUUUGAUCCUUCAACACCUAUUUAUAGAUGUUAAUCAAUACCUCACAAAUUGGUGCCAAAAGUCAUGAAGAGAUGCAAAAUUCCCUCUAAAAGCCACCAAAAAAUUAACUGAAAAAUAGCCUCCAACAGUCACUUUAAAUGUA